CCUACGGGAGGCAGCAGUGAGGAAUAUUGGUCAAUGGACGAGAGUCUGAACCAGCCAAGUAGCGUGAAGGAUGACUGCCCUAUGGGUUGUAAACUUCUUUUAUAAAGGAAUAAAACGAGGCACGUGUGCCUUUUUGCAUGUACUUUAUGAAUAAGCAUCGGCUAACUCCGUGCCAGCAGCCGCGGUAAUACGGAGGCUCCGAGCGUUAUCCGGAUUUAUUGGGUUUAAAGGGAGCGUAGAUGGGUUGUUAAGUCAGUUGUGAAAGUGUGCGGCUCAACCGUAAAAUUGCAAUUGAUACUGGCAGUCUUGAGUACAGGUGAGGUAGGCGGAAUUCGUGGUGUAGCGGUGAAAUGCUUAGAUAUCACGAAGAACCCCGAUUGCGAAGGCAGCUUACUAGACUGUGACUGACAUUGAUGCUCGAAAGUGUGGGUAGCAAACAGGAUUAGAUACCCCAGUAGUC
rnacentral:rRNA from 1 species